AGAAUGACUCUCGGCAACGGAUAUCUAGGCUCUUGCAUCGAUGAAGAACGUAGCGAAAUGCGAUACUUGGUGUGAAUUGCAGAAUCCCGUGAACCAUCGAGUCUUUGAACGCAAGUUGCGUCCGAUGCCAUUAGGUUGAGGGCACGUCUGCCUGGGUGUCACAU
rnacentral:rRNA from 1 species